rnacentral:lncRNA from 1 species
UAAAAUUAAGAAAAGUUACCGUUAUGACACGUGGCACAAUCUGGAGUAUUGGAAUUCAAAUUUUUUAAAAUCCAACGGCAGAGAUUAAUUAUUUGAAUAAAAAUUUAAAAAAAUUGUAAAAAAUCCGAAAAAAAUUGUAAAAAAUCUGAAAAAAAUUUGUAAAAAAUUGUUUUUACUUUUCUAUAAAUACCACUUCUUCUCCAUCUACCUUACACCACAAUUUCAUAUUUUCUCAACUACUUUCAAUUAAAUUCCUAUCUUUCUCUCAAAGUUUCAAUCCAAUUUUUUU